rnacentral:Y_RNA from 1 species
GACUGGACCCAAGGUAGUGAGUUACCUCGAUUGAUGGUUCACAGUCAGUUACAGACUGAACUCUUUGUUCUACCCUUUUCUCCCUCCUCACUACUGCACUUGACUAGUCUUAA